rnacentral:rRNA from 1 species
GUAGGUGGCAAGCGUUGUCCGGAAUUAUUGGGCGUAAAGCGCGCGCAGGUGGGUUCUUUAAGUCUGAUGUGAAAGCCCCCGGGCUCAACCGGGGAGGGUCAUUGGAAACUGGGGAACUUGAGUGCAGGAGAGGAAAGUGGAAUUCCACGUGUAGCGGUGAAAUGCGUAGAUAUGUGGAGGAACACCAGUGGCGAAGGCGACUUUCUGGCCUGUAACUGACACUGAGGCGCGAAAGCGUGGGGAGCAAACAGGAUUAGAUACCCUGGUAGUCCACGCCGUAAACGAUGAGUGCUAAGUGUUGGGGGGUUUCCGCCCCUCAGUGCUGCAGCUAACGCAUAAAGCACUCCGCCUGGGGAGUACGGUCGCAAGACUG